CUCAAUGGUGGGCUGGGUGAGAGCGCUUCGGCGCGCCGCACCUGUUGGCGGUAAGACCAAUCUCACUCAGCUCGCCACCAGU
rnacentral:antisense_RNA from 1 species